rnacentral:rRNA from 1 species
CCGGGAACUCAAAGGAGACUGCCAGUGAUAAACUGGAGGAAGUGGGAUGACGUCAAGUCAUCAUGGCCCUUACGACCAGGGCUACACACGUGCUACAAUGGCGCAUACAAAGAGAAGCGACCUCGCGAGAGCAAGCGGACCUCAUAAAGUGCGUCGUAGUCCGGAUUGGAGUCUGCAACUCGACUCCAUGAAGUCGGAAUCGCUAGUAACCGCAGGUCAGCAAUACUGCGGUGAAUACCGGUUCCCGGGUCCU